rnacentral:rRNA from 1 species
GCUUAGAGAGGGGUCAAUGUCCUAUCAGCUAGUUGGUAGGGUAAUGGCUUACCAAGGCUAAGACGGGUAGCCGGCCUGAGAGGGUGGUCGGCCACACUGGGACUGAGACACUGCCCAGACUCCUACGGGAGGCUGCAGUCGAGAAUCUUUCGCAAUGCCCGAAAGGGUGACGAAGCGACACCGCGUGUGGGAAGAAGGCCUUCGGGUUGUAAACCACUGUCGGGAGUUAAGAAAUGUAAGGGUGUUAAUAGCAUCCUUACUUGACUAAGGCUCCGGAGGAAGCCACGGCUAACUCUGUGCCAGCAGCCGCGGUAAUACAGAGGCGGCAAGCGUUGUUCGGAAUUAUUGGGCGUAAAGAGCACGUAGGCGGCUUUGUAAGUCAGUUGUGAAAGCCUUCCGCUUAACGGAAGAACAGCAUCUGAUACUGCAAGGCUAGAGUGCGGAAGGG